rnacentral:rRNA from 1 species
AUUGAACGCUGGCGGCAGGCCUAACCCAUGCAAGUCGAACGAGUGGCGGACGGGUGAGUAAUGUCUGGGAAACUGCCUGCUGGAGGGGGAUAACUACUGGAAACGGUAGCUAAUACCGCAUACCCUCAUAUGUGCCCAGAUGGGAUUAGCUUGUUGGUGGGGUACCGGCUCACCAAGGCGACUAUCCCUAGCUGGUCUGAGAGGAUGACCAGCCACACUGGAACGGGGACACGGUCCAGACUCCUGCGGGAGGCAGCAGGGGGGAAGAUUGCACAAUGGGCGAAAGCCUGAUGCAGCCAUUCGGCGUGUAAGAAGAAGGCCUUCGGGUUGUAAAGUACUUUCAGCGGGGAGGCGGUACCCGCAGAAGAAGCACCGGCUAACUCCGUGCCAGCAGCCGCGGUAAUAC